AGAGCUUGAGUGCAGAAGAGGAAAGUGGAAUUCCAUGUGUAGCGGGGAAAUGCGCAGAGAUAUGGAGGAACACCAGUGGCGAAGGCGACUUUCUGGUCUGUAACUGACGCUGAUGUGCGAAAGCGUGGGGAUCAAACAGGAUUAGAUACCCUGGUAGUCCACGCCGUAAACGAUGAGUGCUAAGUGUUAGGGGGUUUCCGCCCCUUAGUGCUGCAGCUAACGCAUUAAGCACUCCGCCUGGGGAGUACGACCGCAAGGUUGAAACUCAAAGGAAUUGACGGGGACCCG
rnacentral:rRNA from 1 species